UUAAGUUAAUAAGGGCGCACGGUGGAUGCCUUGGCACUAGAAGCCGAUGAAGGACGUGACUAACGACGAAAUGCUUUGGGGAGCUGUAAGUGAGCAAUGAUCCAGAGAUGUCCGAAUGGGGGAACCCGGCAGGUAAUGCCUGUCACUCAUUACUGUUAAGGUAAUGAAGAGGAAGACGCAGUGAACUGAAACAUCUAAGUAGCUGCAGGAAGAGAAAGCAAAAGCGAUUGCCUUAGUAGCGGCGAGCGAAACGGCAAGAGGGCAAACCGAAGAGUUUACUCUUCGGGGUUGUAGGACUGCAACGUGGACUUAAAGAUUAUAGAAGAACUACCUGGGAAGGUAGGCCAAAGAGAGUAAUAGCCUCGUAUUCGAAAUAGUCUUUAUACCUAGCAGUAUCCUGAGUACGGCGAGACACGAGAAAUCUCGUCGGAAUCUGGGAGGACCAUCUCCCAACCCUAAAUACUCUCUAGUGACCGAUAGUGAACCAGUACCGUGAGGGAAAGGUGAAAAGCACCCCGGGAGGGGAGUGAAAUAGAACCUGAAACCGUGUGCCUACAACAAGUUCGAGCCCGUUAAUGGGUGAGAGCGUGCCUUUUGUAGAAUGAACCGGCGAGUUACGAUAUGAUGCGAGGUUAAGUUGAAGAGACGGAGCCGNNNNNNNNNNNNNNNNNNNNNNNNNCGUCGGAAUCUGGGAGGACCAUCUCCCAACCCUAAAUACUCCCUAGUGACCGAUAGUGAACCAGUACCGUGAGGGAAAGGUGAAAAGCACCCCGGGAGGGGAGUGAAAUAGAACCUGAAACCGUGUGCCUACAACAAGUUCGAGCCCGUUAAUGGGUGAGAGCGUGCCUUUUGUAGAAUGAACCGGCGAGUUACGAUAUGAUGCGAGGUUAAGUUGAAGAGACGGAGCCGUAGGGAAACCGAGUCUUAAUAGGGCGCAUUAGUAUCAUGUCGUAGACCCGAAACCAUGUGACCUACCCAUGAGCAGGUUGAAGGUGAGGUAAAACUCACUGGAGGACCGAACCAGGGCACGUUGAAAAGUGCUUGGAUGACUUGUGGGUAGCGGAGAAAUUCCAAACGAACUUGGAGAUAGCUGGUUCUCUCCGAAAUAGCUUUAGGGCUAGCGUCGACAUUAAGAUUCUUGGAGGUAGAGCACUGUUUGGGUGAGGGGUCCAUCCCGGAUUACCAAUCUCAGAUAAACUCCGAAUGCCAAUGAAUUAUGGUCGGCAGUCAGACUGCGAGUGCUAAGAUCCGUAGUCGAAAGGGAAACAGCCCAGACCACCAGCUAAGGUCCCAAAAUAAUUGUUAAGUGGAAAAGGAUGUGGGGUUGCACAGACAACUAGGAUGUUAGCUUAGAAGCAGCUAUUCAUUCAAAGAGUGCGUAAUAGCUCACUAGUCGAGUGACCCUGCGCCGAAAAUGUACCGGGGCUAAAACAAUUUACCGAAGCUGUGGAUACCUUUAUAGGUAUGGUAGGAGAGCGUUCUAUGUGCGAAGAAGGUGUACCGUGAGGAGUGCUGGAGCGCAUAGAAGUGAGAAUGCCGGUAUGAGUAGCGAAAGACAGGUGAGAAUCCUGUCCACCGUAAGACUAAGGUUUCCAGGGGAAGGCUCGUCCGCCCUGGGUUAGUCGGGACCUAAGGAGAGACCGAAAGGUGUAUCCGAUGGACAACAGGUUGAUAUUCCUGUACUAGAGUAUAUAGUGAUGGAGGGACGCAGUAGGCUAACUAAACCAGACGAUUGGAAGUGUCUGGCCAAGCAGUGAGGUGUGAUAUGAGUCAAAUGCUUAUAUCUCUAACAUUGAGCUGUGAUGGGGAGCGAAGUUUAGUAGCGAAGUUAGUGAUGUCACACUGCCGAGAAAAGCUUCUAGCGUUAAUUAUACUCUACCCGUACCGCAAACCGACACAGGUAGUCGAGGCGAGUAGCCUCAGGUGAGCGAGAGAACUCUCGUUAAGGAACUCGGCAAAAUGGCCCCGUAACUUCGGGAGAAGGGGCGCUGACUGAAGGUCAGCCGCAGUGAAUAGGCCCAAGCAACUGUUUAUCAAAAACACAGCUCUCUGCUAAAUCGUAAGAUGAUGUAUAGGGGGUGACGCCUGCCCGGUGCUGGAAGGUUAAGAGGAGUGCUUAGCGUAAGCGAAGGUAUGAAUUGAAGCCCCAGUAAACGGCGGCCGUAACUAUAACGGUCCUAAGGUAGCGAAAUUCCUUGUCGGGUAAGUUCCGACCCGCACGAAAGGCGUAAUGAUUUGGGCACUGUCUCAACGAGAGACUCGGUGAAAUUUUAGUACCUGUGAAGAUGCAGGUUACCCGCGACAGGACGGAAAGACCCCAUGGAGCUUUACUGCAGUUUGAUAUUGAGUAUCUGUACCACAUGUACAGGAUAGGUAGGAGCCUAUGACCUCGGGACGCCAGUUUCGAGUGAGGCGUUGUUGGGAUACUACCCUUGUGUUAUGGCUACUCUAACCCAGAUAGGUUAACCCUAUCGGAGACAGUGUCUGACGGGCAGUUUGACUGGGGCGGUCGCCUCCUAAAAGGUAACGGAGGCGCCCAAAGGUUCCCUCAGACUGGUUGGAAAUCAGUCGCAGAGUGUAAAGGUAUAAGGGAGCUUGACUGCGAGAGCUACAACUCGAGCAGGGACGAAAGUCGGGCUUAGUGAUCCGGUGGUUCCGUAUGGAAGGGCCAUCGCUCAACGGAUAAAAGCUACCCUGGGGAUAACAGGCUUAUCUCCCCCAAGAGUUCACAUCGACGGGGAGGUUUGGCACCUCGAUGUCGGCUCGUCGCAUCCUGGGGCUGUAGUCGGUCCCAAGGGUUGGGCUGUUCGCCCAUUAAAGCGGCACGCGAGCUGGGUUCAGAACGUCGUGAGACAGUUCGGUCCCUAUCCGUCGCGGGCGUAGGAAAUUUGAGAGGAUCUGCUCCUAGUACGAGAGGACCAGAGUGGACUUACCGCUGGUGUACCAGUUGUUCUGCCAAGAGCAUCGCUGGGUAGCUAUGUAGGGAAGGGAUAAACGCUGAAAGCAUCUAAGUGUGAAGCCCACCUCAAGAUGAGAUUUCCCAUGAUUUUAUAUCAGUAAGAGCCCUGAGAGAUGAUCAGGUUGAUAGGUUAGAAGUGUAAGUGUGGUGACACAUGUAGCGGACUAAUACUAAUAGCUCGAGGACUUAUCCAA
rnacentral:rRNA from 1 species